rnacentral:lncRNA from 1 species
GCUUGAUGAAUCGAGCAUUUAUUUUAAAACAAGUAACUCUUUAAAACACAAAUUACUGAAAAUCUUAGAUUCCUAGAAUGGCUAUAUAAAUAAAAUCUGCCAAGCUACCCAGGGACUCAGCGGGCCCGCAAUGGUGCGGCAGUCCAGUUCCUGAGAACAGCUCCUUUCUCCACAGUACGAAUGGUGAGGUCUUCUUCUUCCUCCUCCUCAACUAUUGCACUACACUGUAUCAUUCACUAUGACUUUUCCUUUGUUUUGGGAUCAUUUGGAAGAGGGGGAUGCGGAGGACCUUUAGGUAUGGUGAUGAUUCCAGUAUGUGCGAACCAACCUUUUGAGGAAUGGGAAUAAUAAAAAAUAAAGAAAGAAAAACAAAAGGUAGCCAAGUCAGUAAUGUUUCUGAAAUGUUUGCAGUAUUUAAAAACAUAUUAUGAGAAUGUAAAUUCUUGUCCUAAUUUGGGAUCCUCUUUAUGCCCGAGCUAGGCCUAGCGAAAAAUAGAUUUGGAGAACUUUAGAUGACACUAAAUGCCUCAUUUCAUAAUAUGAAAAUAGACGAAUCCCAAAAACACACUAAGAUAAUAGAAAAGUAAGUCACUAUUGGCAGUCGACCUUAUUAUAUUUAAGAAAGAAAAUAAGUCUAGCCUACUUGGUCCUAGAAGAACCUUCCCUUUAUUCGAUCUUCCUGACUCCAUCAUACAGGUCUCCCAGCUCGUGCAGACCCAGCAGUAAGUACACUCUAGCCAAAUUUCCUCUUUCGCUUCCUUCAGCAUUCUGGCAAUCCUCAACCCUCUUUAUAAUUUUACCCUCCAGCUCCACUAAUCCUCGCUCCAGAUACUCCAACAUUCUAUUGGAAGUGAUAGCCAUUUCUUUUCAUUCGUUGAUCAUGCUGACAACCACUAAUCCUUGCUCCAAAUUUAGGGAUCGCAUGCCUUAUUUUAUACAAUACAAAAAGGUUAGGCCCUUCUCCCCCACCAGACUCGACUAUUUGUACAUUCAUGAGUAGCAUAUUGGCAUUUAGUUCUCUAAAUUAAUGUAUAAAAUGAGAUUAUGUCUGUUGGGAUUAUGGAAACCCCGGUGGACUUUUUGAUAAGACCAGUCUAGGUGGAUAACAUAUUAAUCUGACUGUGUUUGGCCAUGAUGCAUGCACAAAUUACAAUAAGAGUAAGGUUACUAUACGGGUCUAUAUUGGUACCCUCAAGAAAACAACUCGAGAGAGAAAUGCACGAAACCGUCGACUGCACCGCUGAUCGACUAAUUUUACUGUAAAUAAGCCUUUCCAAAUUUAAGGGUAAUAAAUUGGAAGAGCGCAGCCACUCAUCAAGCGGUUUUAUAGGAUUUGAAAUGCACGAGUGGAAUAUGAUGUGGAACAUGAUUUAUGCAAUAAUAAAUAGCAUAUUGUCAAGUAAUUGCACGUAGGAAAAAUAACAAAUGCAGUAUUUAAAUAAUUGAAAAACAUUUACGGGAAAAGAAAAUAAAAAGACAAGUUAGUUUCAGAAAAUUUAAAAAAUCAUAAAUAAGGUCCAAAUAAAGGGGAAAGGUAUAUGGGAUAAGGCAUGCUUGGACUAAUUUAGAAAAAUAAGUUCGUCAUGGUAAGAGCCUGAAUUAUACCCAGCAGAGUCGCCAUACUAUCGCGCCCCCUUUUUCCUUCGCAGAAUCCGAGUUUUGACAUUCAUUGGGAACAAAUCGUUCCUUUUGUGAUUUGGGUAUUUGAAUUUGAAGAGCUGCCACCUAAGAAAUUAUUGUGCGUUAGGGCACCUAGAGUGGUUGACUCGUGUAACUAGUUUGCAUUACCAGAGAUUAGGGUAAGGGCUCGAAAUAACCUUGAGGGGAAGGUGUUAGGCACCCCUCGCGGUCCACAAUGGUGGGUCUUAGCCAAACUUAAACUAUGUGAAUCAAUCAUUUUACAAGUAAACAAUUUCAACACAUAUUCACAAAUAAAGGCGUGUUUUCACAUUCUUAAAACAUGUAUGAUUCAGGUAAUGGAAGCAAGGAGAGGUUUGAACAACUUCAAUAUUUAUGUGUGUGUAUAUAUAUAUAUAUAUAUAAAGAAAAGGAAUUUCAUUUAAACUCAUAAGAAUUAGGAAAGAGGGGUCCUAGGUUGGUUAGCCUACAGGAUCAUACCCAUGCAAUGCCCGGUAAUCACUCCUCAGUGAGGGGAUACACGUGACAUUUGCACGGAAUCAUCAUAUCCUUACUACCCAAUUCCCUCCCCUUGGUCAUAGCCUAAAGUAUUCUAGAAACCUUAUAAGAUAUCCUAUGCGUGCAUUGCCCGUCCCUUCCUUGUAGCCCUGAGGUAUUUAGGACCUAUAAUUUGGGUAGUUCUAGACUAUCCUAAGGUACUCUAAAGGAGAAAAAUCUAAGCGACAUCCAAUAAACAAUUAGGACUGUACCCAAGAUAGAAAAAUUAAAGGCUCAAGUUUCACCUCCACAAACAGAGCAAGCAAGUGCAUGUCUCAAACAUAGUUUCAGGUAUUUAAAAGAAGAAGCCCUAGAAUAGGAUAUCUAAGUGAGCAGAGAACAUGCAGUGUUGAGUUAGGACAAAGUGUAAAAGACCUAUUCAGUUUGCAUACUGAUUUUAGACCUGUUGAAUAUGAGCAGUCACAGAUAAUAGAGUGUAGUUUUGCACUUUGUAGGAUUUUUAAUCGCCCUAUAGGCUUGAGUAGACGUGUAAUAGCGAUAUCCUAUGAGCAUGGUAUCUAAUCAUUAAUCAGGAAUAGAAUGAGGCAAUAAACAAUUUUAAACGGGCAAUUUGGAUCCUAUAGGAAUACUGUCUAGUAAUAUUAAUUAACACAUCAUUGAAGACUAUUAAAGAAACGAAUAUGUUAGUUAAUCCAACUGAUUCAGAACAUACAUGCAUGAGUUAAACUAAUAUUAGAUCUAACUAAAAGUGAUUUUGGAUCCUAUGGGCUUGAUUUCUAUAUAAAGCUGAUUUAUAUCCUAUAAGCAUGAUUUAUAUUAUUAAAGCCGAUUUGGAUCCUAUAGGUAUGACUUCGAAUUAUGUAAAGUAAAGCAACCAGAAUUUAUUUGAACCAAAGAAAAGUCCUAUAGGAAUAUUAUCUAACAAAGGCAUUUGAACCAACUGAACCCUAUAGGCUUGUUAUCUACCAAAACACAUUUGAAUCGAAACAAACCCUAUACGCAUGUUAUCUACCAAAUUUUACCCACAGUAUACAACUACCCUUCCUUUUCACUAGUCACCCCAAUAUUUAUUUAUAAUUAAUUAUUACAAACUAAGAAUUGAAUAAAUUACAUAAAUAUAAAUAUACAUUAAGCCAUAGGGUUCCUGAAGUAGGCCCAAAGUAAUUUCCAAGCCUUCAUUAGUCUCAAGUGCCCAAAGUUGCAUAGCCAAUUUCAUAUCUAGGUGUGUUAUAGUUCCCUAAGGACCUUAAGGAUCCCGAGCACUGCUCACACCCAGACCUUCCUCAAAUAAGAACUAAUUUAUGUGUAGUGUGGAAGUUCCAUCCCUGAUAUGCUAGAGUUUAGAGAGAUCUCAAGGGUCUCUAAGCAGUACACAUACCAGAGGAGCAAGACUUAGUAAUCUAAGAGUAAGUGAGAGUGCAUAAUAUUUUGAAAGGGCUUAGUAAACAGUAUGAAGAAAGGUCUUGGGAGUGAAAAGAGUUUCUGAAAACCAGUACUGAUUUAGUGAUAAAACAAUUUAAGGGUAGUAUGAAAAAUAAUUUGCACUCAGAACACAAACCACAAACAGCUUUGAAAAAUACUUUGACAAAUAAUUUUCACAUAAGGAAAGAGGGGUUGGGAACACAUAGAAUACACCUUACUGGAGAACAUAAAAGAUAGGAUGCAUAGAGUUCUCAAGGGAGAUCUUCGAAACUAAUAGGUUAGACAGAAUGCAGGUCAUUGAAACUUGAAGCAAAGAUCACAGCAGAAACAUGUUGAGGACAUAGAAACAACACAACUAGAGUCACUCUAGGAGAUUAGAUAACUCAGCAUGAGUAAGGCAGAACAGGCAAGGAUUUAAAUGAACAUGAUAGGCAAGUACUAACAAGUGUAGGUAUGCUAAUUACACAAAGGCAAAGAUUAGGCAUGCUAGACGAACAGUCGUCAGCCAAACAAAAUAGUUACACAUGUAAGAUACGUUAAACAAGAUAUUGAACAUACAAGUAAAAUGAAGACCUGCUAACCACAUAUUCUAAUAAGGCAAUAUUUGGUAUGCUAGGUAAGCAGUAAACAGAAGCAGGAAUGAACUCCGGAUUGAUGAACUAAGGCAGUAAAUACACACAUAGGUUUGGAUUCUAAAAUUUAAUCAGAAGCACGUCGGUUAGAGAAAUAAAACACAAGAUGUUAGACAGAUGUUACACAAUUUCCAGCCUUGGCUUGCAGCCGACUAGAAUAACAAAGAUUACAAUUAGCAGAGAGAAAGCAGAAAGAGCAUUUUAGAGUGUAAAAGUAGUGGUUUUUUUGAAUUAAUGUACAUCUCUAAGAAGUUAAAACAAGAGAUUUUAUAUUCAAGAGUAGAGAAAAUAAGGUAAAGUAAUAAGUAAUCAUCUAUUAAGGGAUUUCAGAAUCAAUCACACAAAGAUACACAAAGAUUCAGCAUGGUCUUCUUCUUUAAUUAAGGAAAAUCAACUAACAGUAAUGACAGGAGCUAAUUAAGGCAUGAGGUUCAAUCAGACUAAGUAAAGAAGUAAGAAUUAGAGGUCUUGUUAAGGAAAGGAGUUCAAAUCAAACCAAAAAUAAAGAACUUCAGAAUACAAUAGUCAAGGGUUUAAUUAAGGAGAGAAUCAUGUAAAGAAUUAGAAAGUAUCGCAGACAAUUCAAAUAAACCAAGAAAGAAAUAAUCCAGACUAAACACAUAGGUUUAAACGAAGCAAUUUGGUAAAUCAAGAAUUCAAACAACACUGAUUUAAGGAGAAAAUAUAGGUUUAUCAUAAAUAAGCAAAAAAUAAAUAUAGACACAUAGAAUCAGUAGAAAAGUCAAAACAAGGACCUUAGUAGAGGAAUAUUAGGAUAAAAAUCACAAUACAUCAAAUUAGGCUAAAGAAAAAUCAUAGGAACCAAAGCAUAAGACAAAGUCGAUACACAGAUAAUCUGGACAAACUCAGAAUACAAACAAAAUAUUGAAAAGUUGGGGUUUUUAGCAUAAACUAGUUAGGGUUAAAAUAAUCCUUACGAAAUCAGUUAAAAAAACAUAUGAAUAGAAUAUUAAAUACUCAAAAUAAGCAAAACAUUUUGGAGAAAGAAAUUUUCUGGAAACCUUUCUUCAAAAAAAAUGGAAAACCAUUCGAAAAUUAGAAGGCUUUCAUAAAAACCAGUGAAGUAAGUCCAAACCAUCUCAGAUCUGUACAGAUAUGACAAGUUCAAAGGAACAAAUCAGGGUUUCGAGAAGAGCAAAACAUAGAUGAAGAAGUAAGCUUAGAAAUCCAUAGUUUUAAAGCAAAAUAGAAUGAUCUUACUCGAAAUCAAACCGGAACAACCUGAAACGGGUAAGAAAGGGCCAUAGGUGUAAGUGGACUGACCCUGGUUCCUCGAGAAUCUUAGAGAUGGCAAUACCAGCAUAGGAUAGGCCAUUAGAGGUCGGAUGGUGGUGAGAUACCACCAUGAAUGGCAGCAGAUGCGUGACGAUAAGGGUAAAUAAGGGUUAGGUUUUGAGAACAUUCAAGAGAUGAGAGGAAUAGAUAACGGUGGGGAGGGG